GUUAUCAAGAAGGUCAAGGGUGAUAAGCAAGAAGUCACUAAGAUUGAAACUGUCGAGGAGGACGACAAACAACCCGAAACAACGGUCACUGUUGAAGAACUUCCGUUUGAAGAAGAAAAGCCUGAAGAAAUUCAGGAGCUUCCGGAGGAGGUUCGCGUCGUUGAAACCAUUACGGAAGAUGGCAAGCCUAAGAA